CGGGUGAGUAACGCGUGAGGAACCUGCCUCAAAGAGGGGGACAACAGUUGGAAACGACUGCUAAUACCGCAUAAGCCCACAGCUCGGCAUCGAGCAGAGGGAAAAGGAGUGAUCCGCUUUGAGAUGGCCUCGCGUCCGAUUAGCUAGUUGGUGGGGUAAUGGCCCACCAAGGCGACGACCGGUAGCCGGACUGAGAGGUUGAACGGCCACAUUGGGACUGAGACACGGCCCAG
rnacentral:rRNA from 1 species